UGGACCAUUAGCUCAGCUGGGAGAGCACCUGACUCUUAAUCAGGGUGUCCAGGGUUCGAGCCCCUGAUGGUCCAUUUU
rnacentral:tRNA from 1 species